rnacentral:siRNA from 1 species
UUCUUCAGCCUUCUCUCUAAUUAU